AACGAACGCUGGCGGCAUGCCUAACACAUGCAAGUCGAACGAGACCUUCGGGUCUAGUGGCGCACGGGUGCGUAACGCGUGGGAACCUGCCUUUAGGUUCGGAAUAACUCAGAGAAAUUUGAGCUAAUACCGGAUAAUGUCUUCGGACCAAAGAUUUAUCGCCUUUAGAUGGGCCCGCGUUGGAUUAGCUAGUUGGUGGGGUAAAGGCCUACCAAGGCGACGAUCCAUAGCUGGUCUGAGAGGAUGAUCAGCCACACUGGGACUGAGACACGGCCCAGACUCCUACGGGAGGCAGCAGUGGGGAAUAUUGGGACAAUGGGCGAAAGCCUGAUCCAGCAAUGCCGCGUGAGUGAUGAAGGCCUUAGGGUUGUAAAGCGUCUUUUACCCGUACGGAUGAUAAUGACAGUAUCGGGAGAAUAAGCUCCGGCUAACUCCGUG
rnacentral:rRNA from 1 species